rnacentral:rRNA from 1 species
UACGGGGGGAGCAAGCGUUGUUCGGAUUUACUGGGCGUAAAGGGCGCGUAGGCGGCGUGACAAGUCACUUGUGAAAUCUCCGGGCUUAACCCGGAGCGGCCAAGUGAUACUGUCGUGCUAGAGUGCGGAUGGGGCUACUGGAAUUCUCGGUGUAGCGGUGAAAUGCGUAGAUAUCGAGAGGAACACCUGCGGCGAAGGCGGGUAGCUGGGCCGACACUGACGCUGAGGCGCGAAAGCCAGGGGAGCGAACGGG